AGAGUUUGAUCCUGGCUCAGGAUGAACGCUGGCGGCGUGCCUAAUACAUGCAAGUCGAGCGAACAGACGAGGAGCUUGCUCCUCUGACGUUAGCGGCGGACGGGUGAGUAACACGUGGAUAACCUACCUAUAAGACUGGGAUAACUUCGGGAAACCGGAGCUAAUACCGGAUAAUAUAUUGAACCGCAUGGUUCAAUAGUGAAAGACGGUUUUGCUGUCACUUAUAGAUGGAUCCGCGCCGCAUUAGCUAGUUGGUAAGGUAACGGCUUACCAAGGCAACGAUGCGUAGCCGACCUGAGAGGGUGAUCGGCCACACUGGAACUGAGACACGGUCCAGACUCCUACGGGAGGCAGCAGUAGGGAAUCUUCCGCAAUGGGCGAAAGCUUGACGGAGCAACGCCGCGUGAGUGAUGAAGGUCUUCGGAUCGUAAAACUCUGUUAUUAGGGAAGAACAAAUGUGUAAGUAACUAUGCACGUCUUGACGGUACCUAAUCAGAAAGCCACGGCUAACUACGUGCCAGCAGCCGCGGUAAUACGUAGGUGGCAAGCGUUAUCCGGAAUUAUUGGGCGUAAAGCGCGCGUAGGCGGUUUUUUAAGUCUGAUGUGAAAGCCCACGGCUCAACCGUGGAGGGUCAUUGGAAACUGGAAAACUUGAGUGCAGAAGAGGAAAGUGGAAUUCCAUGUGUAGCGGUGAAAUGCGCAGAGAUAUGGAGGAACACCAGUGGCGAAGGCGACUUUCUGGUCUGUAACUGACGCUGAUGUGCGAAAGCGUGGGGAUCAAACAGGAUUAGAUACCCUGGUAGUCCACGCCGUAAACGA
rnacentral:rRNA from 1 species